GGGACCGGGGACCCGUCCGGGGGCCAGCCGGUUGGAAGCCGCGUCCCCUCGGUGCGCUCCGGACGCUGCGCUCUAUCCGGGCCUGGUAGCCCGGCGCUGCCAGCUCUCAAUGAGCCGCUCGCCCGCUCUAUUGUUGCUCCUCAGGGCUCCAUUAGACAGAAUUGGACAACAAUGUGGCGCCUGCCAUUGGCCAGGGGAGGCAGUCGGCGCUCUGAUUGGCCGGGCCCGCGCCCGGGGAGCCCCUCAUUCUACAGUGUCCGAAAGAUUCGAAACUCCGAACGCUCCGCUGAGUGCCUGCGGGAAGGGAGGGGGCGCCAGGGAAGGAGUGCGCGAGGAGGAGCGUUGCAAAUGUCGUGACAAGAAGUUUCCGUGCGCCCGAGAGCGUGUGAAUUGCUCCUAAUUACCGUGUCCGGUUCUCUCGGACGCAGGAUGCACCGGCCAGUCGGUCCGGCCACUAGACCGACCACAAGGCUGCGCAGGGGGCGGGGGGCCUUGGACCAACUUUGACUUGGCCUUCUGCGACCUGUGCUGACGUCACGACCCCAGGACCGGUUCGGUCAGCGGAGGAGAGUAAAGAAAAUUCGUUUAAAUGAAAAGCGAGGCCAUCUCCUCACGUCCUCUCCACCCCCUACCGUGUGUUUUGGCAUUGCUUUUUAGAAGCCCCUGGGCCUCGGGAGUCGGGUCGACGCCGACGCCGACGCACACACCUGUUAGGCGCACGGAGCCUGCCUCGGUCCCCAGCCCCUUCCGCCAGGAGGACCCGCAGCUGGGGCAGGAGGAAGGCGAGAUCGACAGGAUCCCAUAGCAGAACCACGCGCCUGCGAGGGUCGGGAUGCGCCCUGUCCAAGAAGCCAACGGAGGAUCCGACCCGAGGAGACGUGACGGGGCGAUGAACCUCAGAAUCUGGCGAAUAACUUCCAGAAAGUUUGCCAGGCCAGUCUCAAGGGAGCUGGGACCCGAAUUGCAGAGAAUAGCAACCUGGUUGUGGGGCUACCGAGAAAGUUCCUUCUCUGCCGCCGGAGAAAAGAUUUGGCACAACCCACUUGGUGAGUGAUCUCAGACUCAGACGCCUGCAGAGUCCCACGUCGUGAGCCUGCACCCUCAACAUUGAGCAUAUCUAUCGGAGCACGGAACCCUAGUCCUUCUCCAUCUGCUGGGAUAGAGACCUUCACUCCAAAUGAAGUGGUUGACAGCGAGGGCCCAACUCACACUUUCAGAAGUGUCCUCAGCUCAGAAUCAUUUGCUGAGGAGUCUGCCGGGCCGGUGGGGAGGGGGCGUGUGCACCCAGCCAAGAAAUCCUCCACACCCUCAUUCCAACCCCAUCCAUCCAUCACUCAGAGCCACUCCACAGAAGAGGCCCAGGGGGAAGGCCCAGGUGGGGACCUGGGGUGAUGUGGGAUUGGGCGCCUAGAAUGAGGAUUCUGUACCACUGACUAGGAGAAGGGCUGGGGGCAUCAGUGGGGGACCUGGGAAGCGUUGACUUUUGCGCUGUUUGCCCGCGGCCUCGGAGCAAGCAGACGCCAUCUGUUUGCCGGCUGCGACGCUUCCCGUUUAAUUACCCUCCCGGCAGCCUAAUAGAGAUGAUAUUAAACUAAAUCUUUCUGACAUUAAAAGUAAUUAUCCCCAAACCGGUGGCUCUGGGACGGAUUCGCCCCUCCCGCACAGACCCCUUUCCCACCGCUCUGGAUUCCGUUAGUUUGGCUGAAAUUCUUCACCUGGGAAGGGCUGGAGGAAGGAGCCUUGGGAGACAGCGUCUCCGAAGGCAGGCAUGCCUGACGCGCGUUUUGCGCACCAGAGUGACUCCUGUUCCUGCGUGGACGCAGGCAUGGACGCCAGCACAGGAGACAUUUUCCUCCAGUCUUGCUGAUUAAGACGCUCUGUCGUGCGUGCCCAGCGCGAAUGGGGAGGAAGGGAGCCUGGUUUGCUGUCUCCUUUGAAAUGGCCCUUGAUCUGGCCGAGGCUAGGGCCAAGGAAAAGACACAACUUUGGAAACAGAACAAAACAACAAACCACGCUGCCCACUGUGGCUCUGGGCUUUUGCAUGUUCUUCCAGCGCCUUGCACUUUUCCCUGCAGUGACUUAUGAAGACCCACCUUCCUCUACUGGGUCCCAUUAUCUCACUUGUCAGGUGAGAAAAUGAUUCCAAGCUGGAAGGCGACACAGAGGAGCGCAAAUUUCAAGCCUUGGAGUUGCCAUCCCUGGCCAGUGGUCUGCAAAGUUCUGGGUUCCACCCGAGGCUCUCUUCUGCACCUGGGGUCCAAUCGCUGGUGCUUAGCUUCUUUAGGGAAAGAAGCACUGGGCGCCUUACUCGAGGAGCAGGCAGAAGGGCCAACUGAGGCAGAAGGAGGGACCGCACUGGUUGGUGCAGGAGGUGCCUACACCAAGUUCCAGCCAUAGCUCCAGCCACAACCACUGGCCUCCUUGGUCAAGCCCUGCAAGGGAGCAGGGUUGCACAAGGUUUCAAGGCUUUCUGUUUUGAAGUGUCCUCUGUGUUCGCCACUCUGCUAAACUGUAGGUGUGGCCUGCUUGCUUAGCACACAGUGCUAACGGGAAGUGCAAUAGCUCACUUCAGACCUGAGUGCCUCACGAAAUUUAGAGCGGUGUAGUAACUUACCUGGGGCCGCCAUGCUGCACAACCUAAAGAAAGAAAUCCAGAUCCAGUGUUCAGUCUUAGACUUUUGUCUCCUCACCUCAAUUCUGAGCAUAAUGUGGGA